rnacentral:rRNA from 1 species
AGCAGUAAGGAAUAUUGGUCAAUGGACGCAAGUCUGAACCAGCCAUGCCGCGUGGAGGAUGAAGGUCCUCUGGAUUGUAAACUUCUUUUAUCUGGGAAGAAAUGACUUUUUUCUAAAGGUCUUGACGGUACCAGAUGAAUAAGCACCGGCUAACUCCGUGCCAGCAGCCGCGGUAAUACGGAGGGUGCAAGCGUUAUCCGGAUUCACUGGGUUUAAAGGGUGCGUAGGCGGAACAGAAAGUCCGUUGUGAAAUCUCCGAGCUUAACUCGGAAAUUGCGGUGGAUACUAUUGUUCUUGAAUACUGUUGAGGUUAGCGGAAUAUGUCAUGUAGCGGUGAAAUGCAUAGAUAUGACAUAGAACACCAAUUGCGAAGGCAGCUGGCUAAACAGAUAUUGACGCUGAGGCACGAAAGCGUGGGGGAUCAAACAGGGAUUUAGAUACCCUGGUAGUCCACGCCCUAAACGAUGAUUACUCGACAUUUGCGAUACACAGCAAGUGUCUGAGCGAAAGCAUUAAGUAAUCCACCUGGGAAGUACGACCGCAAGGUUGAAACUCAAAGGAAUUG